GUCUAGCCCUGAUAGAAGUGUAAAUCCUUUUGUGUCCGCCGCGGCGGACACAAAAGGAUUUACACUUAAUUUUAUUUAAUUUCGGAGUUCAGUGAACUUCGUUUGAAACGGAAAGCGGGACAAGUC
rnacentral:misc_RNA from 1 species